UGGAGGCUCAGGGUGGCCCUCCAUUGAUUCCGCCUGCUGCCCGCCAGGAGCAGAUGAGUAAGGGAACAUCCAAACCCUCUCCACUGAGUGCUCUCACUUCUUUCCUAGGGGUUGGAAAACAGUAUGCUGGGGCCUUUGCAUCUCUGGGGUUGAACACAUAUGAAGCCCAGAAAUUAGCUAUAACCUCAUUCCCAGGAGAGAGCAAGGAGGGCAGAGGCCAGCAGGUCUUUCCAGCAAGAACUAGAGGUUGGCAUCCCAGGGAGAAAUAGUCUCUACGCUGGUCUUCAAGGAUCAUGCUCCAUAAUGUCUGGUUACCUUCUGCCUCACACUUCAGGGAAGCCUGGGGUCACGUGGUCCCCUGCUCACCUUUUCUGGUGAAUUGUGACCAAGAAUCACUGGAUACUUCCAAAGUUGACCUCAAGAAAGAAAAAUGAAUGCCUCUAGGUAAAAACAUCACCUCAAGAACAAAAGGGAUGUUUUUUAAAAAACGUUAUAAAUUCAGAGAGAUUGAGCAUCAAUGGAUGAGUGGCAAAUUGUCACAAACCAUGGGACAUCAUGCACUGGAGUACUACUCAGCAUUGGAAUUUAUGUUUAUAAAUUAUCUGAUGAGGGUUUUGCAUCCACAACAUGCGAAGUACUCGCAAAAAUUCAAUGAUAGAAAAAUAUGAGAACAAUUCUUUAAAAUGACAGAAAAUCUGAACAGAUACUUCACCAAAGAAAGGUACAAAUGGCAAAUAAGUCUGUGCCAAGAUGCUUUAAGUCGUUAGGGAAAUGCCAAUCAAAUGAGAUUUGAUCAACCUUUCUAAAAGUUAGA
rnacentral:lncRNA from 1 species